CCUUUCCACUCUUCCACCUUGUGAGGACACAGCAACAAGCUGCCCUCUUGGAAGCAGAAAGCAGCUCUCACCAGACAUCAAAUCUGCCAGCACAUUGAUCUUGGACUUCCCACCCUUCAGAACUACUGUCUGCGAGGGAUGAGCCUGAGGUGUCAGCAUCUUCACAGGUCUUUUGAGCCUGCAUGCACAAAAGGGUCUACUGUCCCUGGCUACAUAACUGGAGCCUCAGCUCUUCACUGACUGUCCUCAGGUUCCAGGGGCCACCUGCAGUUCCUUGCCACAUGGAUUUCUCCAGCAUAGCUGUGUACUUCAUCAAGGCACAAGGAGAGUCUCCAGUCUACCAGAGCCCUAUGUAAUGUAACAUAAUCAACAAAGUGACGUCCCAUUCAUAUUCAAUUGGUCAGAAGCAAGUUACAGUCCCCACCCAGGUCAGAGGGAGGAGAUAUGACAAAGAAGUAAACAUCAGGAGGCUGGGACAAUGGGGAUACUUAAGGUCCAUCCUGCUACAACUUCCACAAUGGCGUCUUGACCAUGAGGGCUCCACAGACACUGAAGCGGUCACCCAGGCUGCAAGUCUUGGAGGCAUUCUCUAGGAAUCACAGUCCCAUUCUUCUGCAGGCAAACGGAGUCGCCAUAUGACCCAGCCCUGGUCUUGCUUGGCUUUCUGGAUGUUCUCAACCUUGACAUGACUCCUUAUUCUCCAAUUCAUUUGGACCUCAAGACACUACUACUCUGGCUACAGCCGCCAGGCAUUAAAAAGAUGACACAGAAAAAUUACAGAGUCAGCAUAUAUUUGAAUACUGGAUAAAAGGGAAGAGGAUGAAAUGGAUUUUUCAAAGCUUCUAAAGAAAACAGAACUAGCUGUGUAGCAGACUCCUCUUAUAAACCUCUGCGAAGUUCUACUUGAAAAGCUGUGGUUUCAUUUCAAAGGAAACCAGCAAUCAGGGGGAUCUCUACAGGAAAAUCUCUUCCCUAUGUCUUCUUUAGACUCUUCAAAAAGGAGAGAGAGCA
rnacentral:lncRNA from 1 species